rnacentral:rRNA from 1 species
UACGGAAUGUGCAAACGUUAUUCGGAAUCACUGGGCUUAAAGAGUCCGUAGGCGGCAUGUUAGGUGAGGUGUGAAAUCCCCCGGCUCAACCGAGGAAUUGCGCUUCAAACCGGCGUGCUCGAGGAAGAUAGAGGUGGGCGGAACUGAUGGUGGAGCGGUGAAAUGCGUUGAUAUCAUCAGGAACACCGGAGGCGAACGCGGCCCACUGGGUCUUUUCUGACGCUGAGGGACGAAAGCUAGGGGAGCGAACGGG